CCUAAUUUUGCACUCUAUGCUGAACCCUUUGAUCUUCUUCUUCUUCGUUUCUGUUUCACGAAUCUGAACUACUAUCAAUCACUUCUUUCUCAAGCAAUAAAUUCCAACAGAAAAUCUCCUAUUUUCGAUGAUCUUACCGCGAAGAAACCAAACGGAAAGUACAGAGCCUCGCCGUCGCUUGCCUUCAGAUGACUCCGCCUCCGAAAAAAUCUGUGUAACGUCUUUGGUUUUCACUGACAUGCUUCUUUACUCCAAGCAUUUACGUGAUUUACCCCACUUCUAACAUUCUCUCGUAUUUAAUCAAUCUCAUCAUCUUCCAAGGAAACUGACAAAAGCUCUCCUAUUAAUGUGCAUGCUCUCAAUGAUGAACAACACUACCACUACAGAAUUUGAAAGAACAAACUCUUUUAAUUACCAGCUCCAACCAUGGCUUCAUCAUCUCGAUUCUUUCCGCCAUGUCAGGAGUGCUACUGUGCUAGGCUAUCUCUCUUUGAAAACCCCUUGCAGCAACGUCUCAUCCAUAAGGUAAGGUUCACACAGCCAAUGUAGAGGAGAGCCGGUGCCGCAAGAACUGCAAGACAGACUGUGGGAGAGCUCGAAGAGAUGUUUUUGCUGGUGGCGCAGCUUCAGAAUCCGAAGCACCGAAGGAAUAACUCUCAGCAACGGGUCUUCUCGAAGACAAUACCUUGACGGAGCUAAUAUUAUACCCAAAUUGAAUUGUUCUUCACCACUUACUUUCCUUCGGAGGCCACUAAAGCUAUUGAGAAAAAAGUGGAAUCUUUGGAUGAUUGGGGCGAGACCAGUAGCUGAUGGUCGUGGAAUAGUGAAUCGUGUCGAGCCAGUGAUCUUGGAAGAACUUGGCCGCAGAGGAUUGAUGUUGUAAUGGCUUUAUGUGUUUAAUCUUCAGGACAUCUUGAGCCAUAAAUCGUCUGCGUUAGAUUGUGAUGCUCCUGAAGCAAAAAUGAAUGAGAAAAAGAGCAAGUCUUUGAGAUUGCUCUUAGCACUACAGCAGUCAUGUUCCAGAACCAAGCUACUGAAUCCAAAGUUGUACGAAGGGCUAAUUUCAAGUGGAUACGAAAGAGGAGGUCGUGAGAUAUAGAAGAGGCUCACAAACAUUGUUUCAAAGAAACAUUGUAGCCAAGAGAUGUACACAAAAGUUCUACUCACAAACAUUGUAGAAAAGAAACAUGGUAGCCAAGAGAUGUACACAAAAAGUUCUACUGAGACUAGCCAAUCAACUACUUCAGACUUCUUCCCUAACGCGAGAUAAUUUGAAAGUGUUUGAUAUGUUGUGAUUGUGUAAUGAUCUACCUUUAAUAAUAAAAAGUGCUCAUUGAC